UACAGAGACCUCAAGCGUUAUCCGGAAUCAUUGGGCGUAAAGCGUACCGAUAGGUGGUUUUACAAGUCAGAGGUGAAAUCCCAAGGCUCAACUUUGGGACUGUCCUUUGAAACUGUACAACUAGAGGGGCAAAGAGGAAGCUGGAACGAACGGUGUAGUAGUGAAAUGCGUUGAUAUCGUUCGGAACACCAAUAGCGUAGGCAGGCUUCUGGGUGCCACUGACACUGCUAGGACGAAAGCGU
rnacentral:rRNA from 1 species